rnacentral:piRNA from 1 species
ACAGAAAACACAGGGUAUGUAGG